ACCCUUUUUACACAUUUUUAAUGGGUUCAGGGUAUACAAAACCACUUCAUCCAAAUGGGACCGGUUUCAUCGUUACAAGUAAUAUCAUUUAAUUAAUUAAAUUCUACAAAUAUGCUUGUUUUGUUUUUUCUGUUUUCCUUGGCUUUUUUUUUUACUAUUUAAAAACCACUACAUUCAAAUUGGACCGAGUCUAUCGUUCCAUUUAAUCUUUUUUGUUUAAUUUAAAUAAACAAUUAUUUUCUCGGUUUCUCCACUGUCAUCCAAUUCUUAUGCUCUUUAUGAGCCUUUUUAGCCAAUUAAUGAUGAUAAAAGCAGUAAGCAACCAUUUUCCGUUCCAUCAAUACAGCCCAGAAGAUCAAUUUCUCUUUCACACCCUCCGAUAAAAAAGGAUUCUUUGCCAUCAAUCAUAAAAACUGUUCCCAAUCCUUCCUCGUAAAAGUUUGCUAUUCAAUAUUUCUUUCAAGGGUCUCCGCUAAGGCUUCGACAAUUUCGGUGUCCGGUCCUCUAACCACUCGUGCAGCAGGUUCUCCAGCACCCAAAAAAUGGCGCUCAGCGAAUUCAUUGCCGUGACUGACAGACUCAGUUAGUUUGAGGUGGUGUGUAUCCCGACUAAGGAUGGCAGUGCCCUCUAUCUUUGGCAACCAACGCUUAGUAGAGUGGCCAAGAUCUGCAACACCACUACAGCCGUGUAACGUAUCGUGUCUUGGAUUGCAUUGCAUCUUGCAGCACUGCUAUCAGCGGAUUCGUUUACCAUCUGUAGCAUAUGUACCACGAUAACGAAUACUUUACCAACCCAAACCGAUUUGGACCUCGUCAGUUAUUACAUAAGAUUGGAAAAGCAACCACACAUAACAACUGAUUGAUGCAACAGCAAUGCUUAACAAGAACAUCGCAAUAAAAGUGAACGUACAUUAGCGAGGCUACACUUAAUAACCACACCAAAUGACUAAGCUACAAAACGGGCACAUAAAAUUGCGCUCAUUCAUAUAGACAUAGGUCAGUCGUGGUAAAUAUUCUACGGUUAAUGUUUAAUUAAUCAUUUAAUUAAUUUUAUUUUUAAUGUUAAUUGCUCCUGUCUUUUGGUGUUAGUAUCCUGAAGAGGCUUGCUGAUGUGCAGCCGAAAUAUGUCUAAAUAUAAAAA